GUAGUAUCCGUCUCGAUGGUUCCCCCAAGGGGGUGAAAAUGGGAACAGGGUGCGGACGCUGAUUCAACGUCUUGUCCAAUGCCCUGGCUGUCCCCGCAACUGUAGGCGGAAAGUCCGCGCUUAGGCGAUUUCUGUCGAGAAACAGACCACCUGACUCGUCUUUUCGUUCGGC
rnacentral:ncRNA from 2 species